CCUACGGGAGGCAGCAGUGGGGAAUAUUGCACAAUGGGGGAAACCCUGAUGCAGCGACGCCGCGUGAGUGAAGAAGGAAUUCGUUACGUAAAGCUCUAUCAGCAGGGAAGAAAAUGACGGUACCUGAGGAAGAAGCCACGGCGAACGACGUGCCAGCAGCCGCGGUAAUCCGUAGGGGGCAAGCGUUAUCCGGAUUUACUGGGUGUAAAGGGAGCGUAGACGGGACGUCUAGUGGGUUGUGAUAUCCCUCGGCUUAACGGAGGAACUGCAACCAACACUAACUUUCUUGAGUGCUGGAGAGGCAAGUGGCAUUCCUAGUGUAGCGGUGAAAUGCGUAUAUAUUAGGAGGAACCCCAGUGGCGACGGCGACUUUCUGGACAGUAACUGACGUUGAGGCACGAAAGUGUGGUGAGCAAACAGGAUUAGAUACCCGAGUAGUC
rnacentral:rRNA from 1 species